rnacentral:rRNA from 1 species
GCCUACGGGGGGCAGCAGUAGGGAAUCUUCCACAAUGGACGAAAGUCUGAUGGAGCAACGCCGCGUGAAUGAAGAAGGGUUUCGGCUCGUAAAGCUCUGUUGGUAGUGAAGAAAGAUAGAGGUAGUAACUGGCCUUUAUUUGACGGUAAUUACUUAGAAAGUCACGGCUAACUACGUGCCAGCAGCCGCGGGAAUACGUAGGUGGCAAGCGUUGUCCGGAUUUAUUGGGCGUAGAGCGAGUGCAGGCGGUUCAAUAAGUCUGAUGUGAAAGCCUUCGGCUCAACCGGAGAAUUGCAUCAGAAACU